rnacentral:rRNA from 1 species
UACGAAGGGGGCUAGCGUUGCUCGGAAUUACUGGGCGUAAAGCGCACGUAGGCGGGUCGAUAAGUCGGGGGUGAAAUCCUGGAGCUCAACUCCAGAACUGCCUUCGAAACUGUCGAUCUUGAGUUCGGGAGAGGUGAGUGGAACUGCGAGUGUAGAGGUGAAAUUCGUAGAUAUUCGCAAGAACACCAGUGGCGAAGGCGGCUCACUGGCCCGAUACUGACGCUGAGGAGCGAAAGCGUGGGGAGCGAACAGG